UUCUUGCUUGCUUGACGUUAGGAAAGCAAGGUCCCGGAGGGGCUUGCGCUUCCUAGUGCAAGGAA
rnacentral:tRNA from 1 species